rnacentral:tRNA from 1 species
GCCCGGCUAGCUCAAUCGUAUGUGAUGUUCUGAACAAAGUUUCUAUUUACAUGCUGAUCCCACGUUAGGGUAGAGCGUAAGACUCUUAUAACGAACAAUCUUAAGGCUGCGAGUUCGAGCCUCGCGUUGGGCU